UUUGGGGUGGCUCGAGUGGCGAACGGGUGAGUAACACGUGAGUAACCUGCCCUCGACUUUGGGAUAACUUCGGGAAACUGGGGCUAAUACCGGAUAGGAGCUCCUGCUGCAUGGUGGGGGUUGGAAAGUUUCGGCGGUUGGGGAUGGACUCGCGGCUUAUCAGCUUGUUGGUGGGGUAGUGGCUUACCAAGGCUUUGACGGGUAGCCGGCCUGAGAGGGUGACCGGCCACAUUGGGACUGAGAUACGGCCCAG
rnacentral:rRNA from 1 species